rnacentral:lncRNA from 1 species
UACGUGCCAUCUUAGUGUCUCUCUUUUCUUCUUUCUUUUUCUCCCCUUUUACACUUUCGGGGGAGGGAGGCUUGACUACGUGGCUGUUCCUUGCUGAGGUGCUUCUUUCAUUUUUAUGAGAAUAAUGACAUUUUAUCCAGCUACUUUUGUUGUAAGCGCCGCCAGUGUUCUUAUCUCUUAAUCAGAUAACACUCAUGUCCCGUGCUGACGAAACGGGCUCUCCCUAAAUUCGUCAUCGCAACCAUCCGAUAUCCAAAUUCUCGGUGAUUCACGUGAGGUCAGAUUGCUUAAGUUUAAAUGAGUUUUUGCACGGAACAGAAUUUGUGCGGUCAUAUUUUAACACGCAUCAACAUUGAGUCUUUGUUUAUUUCAAACAAUUACAAUCUUGUGACGGCACAUACGUAUUUUAGAACCAGAUAUCUAGUUGGAUAAUAAUCAUGCAAAUAUCAGGUGCAUUUUUUAUUACAUUGACUCUGCACCUUUUUAUACAAGUGGUGAUUUCCAGCGAUAAAAAAUCAGAUGAAGCGGAAGCUGGAUUACGGUUCUCAAAAACUGGAAAACCAACGGCCAAAUCCGUGAUACGACUAUUACCGUUGAUCGAAACCGACUUCAAGGAGAUCGUAGAAAAUGAAAACAUUUUCGUCGACAAAACAGCAUGGAUCCGUCACGCAGUCGAGUUCUCAAGGCACACUGACGCCACAAAACCACCCGGAUUCAUAGCCAUUGCUAGACCUCCUGGAUUCGGAAAGUCAAUAAACCUCUCCAUGCUCCGAUACUUCCUAGACUCCUCGAUGGAUUCAUCGAAACUAUUUACAGGCUCGAAAUAUCAAAACCAAAUCAUCAGAGCUUCCGACAGCAGCACCAAAAUAAAUACGUUGUGUUUUACUUCGAUUUCAACACCGAAUCCAAACCAGGUGUCCUCGAGGUGA